rnacentral:misc_RNA from 1 species
UCUCCGUAGGUGAACCUGCGGAGGGAUCAUUACCGAGUUGUGGAAACACAAUCUCCCUUUCUUGUUGUUUGACCGGUUGCCUUGCCUUCGGGCGUCGGGGCCCCCGGUGGACCACCCAACCCUGCAUCGUUGCGUCUGAGUCGAAAUAUAAAUCAAUCAAAACUUUCAACAACGGAUCUCUUGGUUCUGGCAUCGAUGAAGAACGCAGC